GUGAACAGUCAGUUCUCGAAGUUGACGUGUUGAGCCUGAUAACUUUAAGGCAUAUGGCAUGAAUUAAAGAAGUAGUUGUCUAAACUAGUCUUUAUCUAGAUGUACUUUAAAAAGUAAGUGUUGUGCAUUCGAGUGAGGUUGGGAACUGAAAUACCAAUAUUUCUACAUGGAAAUUGAACUAACUGAUGCUGCAAGUUGUAUCGUGUAUAUUGUUGUGGUGUGUAUCGUUUGCUCACUGGUGUCUGGGGUGUAGCUGUGGUUUUGUGAUUGGUUUUUUGACCACAUGUAUGUGUGUGUAUCCUCUCCAUAUGAGUUGUGUGUGUAAUGGAGUGUUGUGUUUGAGCGAGCAGGUAUGUGUAGCUCUGUAGAACACUUCUCUCUCUCUCUCCCUCCCUCCCACCAUCUCUCUCUCUCUCUCUCUCGCUCUCUCUCCACUCUACUGGAGCUAAAAGCCCUGGAACGGGCCGCUAAUUGCCCAAUUAGGCCUCUCUGCGCGCCUCCGCGGCUCGGCUUGCUCCAUAAUUGGGCUGAAAGCAAACGAACGGCCGGCAGACAAACAAGCUACUAGAAAAUAAUUACUUGGAGUGUUUCUUUUCAGUUGCUGUACAGCGGAUUUCAUUAUGGUGAAUGGCCCACUAAAGCCCGCUCGAAACGCUGCUAGUUGUCAUUUUCAUGGCGACUUGAUAAUGACAUUAAUUUGUCUUAAUGGCUGGUUCUAUUGUUAUAAAUAGGAAAAUGAGGCGAAAUUGUCUUGCCGUGGCGAGCACAAGAGGACUCCAGCGCGCUCCCACCGGGCAUCAAGAGAUAAAUUGGUGUGCUUGUCAAAUUUCCAAUAAUUUGUUAUGUGGACUACGAGUAAUGCCAGUGCCAUUAACGCUCAUUUCGCCCCAAAUUCAUUACUGCCCUUUUUUGCCUUUUUUUUUUUUUGACGUCUCUAAUACACGCAGUCCGUUCCUCUCGGCUUUGAGUGGCUGCACGAGGACCGAAACUCGUCGUCCUACCAGUGAGUUCGGAAACACACAUUAUGCAUGCUUGUACACUCAUGCAAAACACACACACACAUUAUAAUAUGAAUUCUGACACAGGCACACAAGCACAGACAUCCGCAGGUGCUCAUUUGUUCGUCUAUUUGCACAGGUCACUGUGCUCACCUGAUUCAGAGGUGAAGUUAAAGGUAAAGUCCAGCAAGAAAAAAAAAUAACCUAUAGAGUAUUCACAAAUGCACUUGAUCAUUUGUGUCUGACGUUUAACUUCUCUGGUUUUUGUUUUUCCGGAGCUGUUUUAGAGCAAUGGAAGUUUGUAUCGUCCAGAAUGUGCAAAGUGCGCCACUUUUGGGUCUCCUUUACAAUUAAACCUUCCUGCUCUUGGGGCGGAGCUUUGGGGAUGGUGCGAUCUCAAAUUGCAGCAAGAAAAGAGUGGGAGCCAGCAGCGGUGGAACCCUGCCGGCACGGAGAGCGACCUCGGAACAAUACAGCAGCGUUGAGAGCAGAUGGGAGAUCUCAAAAAAAAGAAAGAAAAGGAAGAGAAAAAGCAACAGAUUAAAGGAAAAGAAGAGAAGAAAAUGAAAGAAAAUGACAAGCAUCAUCAGCAAAAAGUCAUGUGAGUUAUUAAAAAGAGAAUGGAUGAAAGAGAGAUCAGAAGAGAGGGACGAUGGAGAGAUGUGCGCUCUUAGGAAAAAGGGGCUGUUGGUGUAGUUAAGGGUUCCUCGCCUCCUAAAAGGGGUUCUGCAGUGGAACUGUUUCUGAUAAACACUCUACAUAGAACCUUCAUGACAACCAAAGAACCCUUUAGAGAUCUAGAUCUGACUUUUUUUAUAGGAAUAUAGGAAGGACGGAAG